UGUGUGUGUACCAUUGCGUACCUUCACUUGACUAGCUCAGCACUAAUGAUUUAGAGGAGAAAAAUAGAGGGAGAGGGAGGGUAUUGACGAGGAUAAAGUAAAACAGAGGGAGGAGGGAUAAUUGAGCAACAGAGUCAGGGAUGACUAACCCGCACCAGAGGAGAGAUAGAGAGAGCAGGAGGAGGAGAGGAAUAAAAUAGAGAUAUAUGAGUGUGUUAAAGGUAAGCGGAAGUUAAUGUUACAUAUUAGCAGUGUUUUACUGAAGAGCUCAAUGGGUACGGGAACAAAAGUAGGAGAAGAAACAGGCUGGUAUUUUUUAAAGUGACAAACAAAGGACAAUACAUCUAUAUCACCAGAAAACCAGCACCAGCGAAGGUCAUAGGAGGUCCAUCGGGACCAAGACAGUUUUCACUGCACCUUCCCAUGAAAUACACACCCCCCCUGCACCAAGAGAGAACAUUCCUUCCCUCAAACUAUCUGCAAACCUGGAGAGAACAGUUUAGAAGACAACCACACCUGAGAGAGAGCAAAUGACAGGAACACUAGACAAGCAGAAGAA
rnacentral:lncRNA from 1 species